rnacentral:lncRNA from 1 species
GUGGUAUGCAUUCCUUGUACUGUCAUUUCAACUCACUCCUGGAUCUACAAAAAAUUCCUGGAGUCAUACAUGUACCCUCUGAUUUCUCUUUCUGUUAGUCAUAUAUGGCCUAGAAAAGCUGUAUAAGAAGCCAAUGAUAAAAAUAAAGGCCAAGUAGACUGUAAAGGUUUAGACAUAAAUGGAUUACCAACAAAAGGACCAACAAAAAUCUCUGAUAAGAAGAAAAAC